UGUGGAGAUGGGACACUCGCUGAGCUCAGACUGAAGGAUCUUGGUGGUACCCUGCCCCACCGUGGCCAGAUCCUAGGGCUUCCGGUGCCAGCCAGGUGACCUGCUGUUGGUCUGGAGUAAGAUUCCUGUGAGUGACCCAGGCAGCAAUGGUAAAUACUGGGGCUGCAUGCAGCGCCUGGCCUCCUGUCCAGACUCCUGGGUGCCUAGAGUGCCAGGGGCUGACAAAGAAGAAGUGGAGGCAGUGACCGCACUGGCGUCCCUCUCUGUGGGCAUCCUGGCUGAAGAUAGGCCCUCGGAGCAGCUGGUGGAGGAGGAAGAACCUAUGAAUCUCUAAGGCUCUGGAACCAUCUGCCCGCCCACCAUGCCCUUGGGACCUGGUUCUCUUCUAACCCCUGGCAAUAGCCCCCAUUCCUGGGUCUUUAGAGAUCCUGUGGGCAAGUAGUUGGAACCAGAGAACAGCCUGCCUGCUUUGACAGUUAUCCCAGGGAGCGUGAGAAAAUCCCUGGGUCUAGAAUGGGAACUGGAGAGGACCCUGAG
rnacentral:lncRNA from 1 species